GAAGAACCUUACCUGGUCUUGACAUCCACGGAAGUUUUCAGAGAUGAGAAUGUGCCUUCGGGAACCGUGAGACAGGUGCUGCAUGGCUGUCGUCAGCUCGUGUUGUGAAAUGUUGGGUUAAGUCCCGCAACGAGCGCAACCCUUAUCCUUUGUUGCCAGCGGUCCGGCCGGGAACUCAAAGGAGACUGCCAGUGAUAAACUGGAGGAAGGUGGGGAUGACGUCAAGUCAUCAUGGCCCUUACGACCAGGGCUACACACGUGCUACAAUGGCGCAUACAAAGAGAAGCGACCUCGCGAGAGCAAGCGGACCUCAUAAAGUGCGUCGUAGUCCGGAUUGGAGUCUGCAACUCGACUCCAUGAAGUCGGAAUCGCUAGUAAUCGUGGAUCAGAAUGCCACGGUGAAUACGUUCCCGGGCCUUGUACACACCGCCCGUCACACCAUGGGAGUGGGUUGCAAAAGAAGUAGGUAGCUUAACCUUCGGGAGGGCGCUUACCACUUUGUGAUUCAUGACUGGGGUGAAGUCGUAACAAGGUAACCGUAGGGGAACCUGCGGUUGGAUCAC
rnacentral:rRNA from 1 species